UAAAGGAAGAGAGGUGCAACACUCAGGCAACUUAUUUUAGGGAACUAGGCCCGUUUGAGAAUAAGUGAUGGGAGUGCUUGCCGAGGUGUGAAUUCACUAGAACGGAAUGAUCAUCGGCUGAGUCAGGUUGAAUCCUAUCAGCUGUCGUUUAAAACUUGUGUUUUAAAUGGAGUGCUCUAAAUUGU
rnacentral:ncRNA from 2 species